CAGGCUACUGUCCCAAGGGGGAAAAGCCGCUAUUUGCGGCAAGUACCUCUUUAAUUGGGCAGUAAAAACC
rfam:Hepacivirus C isolate EGHKS3 polyprotein (POLY) gene, complete cds